rfam:Hyphopichia burtonii NRRL Y-1933 unplaced genomic scaffold HYPBTscaffold_3, whole genome shotgun sequence.
GCCUGGCUAGCUCAAUCGGUAGAGCAUCUGACUCUUAUUAAUUGGGAUCAUCAGAAGGUUGCGGGUUCGAGCCCCGCGUUGGGCU